GACGAACGCUGGCGGCGCGCUUAACACAUGCAAGUCGAGCGAAGCGGCGGACGGGUGAGUAACACGUGAGUAACCUGCCUGAGACAUUGGGAUAGCCUCGGGAAACCGGGAUUAAUACCAAAUGGUCUAAGAUGGACUCGCGUCCCAUUAGCUAGUUGGUGAGGUAACGGCCCACCAAGGCGACGAUGGGUAGCCGGCCUGAGAGGGUGAACGGCCACGUUGUGACUGAGAAACGGUCCGAACUCUACGCGGGGCAGCAGUGGGGAAUAUUGCACAAGGGCGGGAACUCUGAUGCAGCGACGCCGCGUGAACGAAGAAGGCUUUCGAGUCGUAAAGUUCUUUUAUAUGGGAAGCGGUACCAUCAGAAAAAGCCCCGGCUAACUACGUGCCAGCAGCCGCGGUAAUAC
rnacentral:rRNA from 1 species